UUUGAUUGGCGAGUGGCGAACGGGUGAGUAAUGCAUCGGAACAUACCUAUUAGUGGGGGAUAGCCCGGCGAAAGCCGGAUUAAUACCGCAUAUGCCUUAGGGUGAAAGCAGGGGACCGCAAGGCCUUGCGCUGGUAGAGUGGCCGAUGUUAGAUUAGGUAGUUGGUGGGGUAAAGGCCUACCAAGCCUGCGAUCUAUAGCUGGUCUGAGAGGACGAUCAGCCACACUGGGACUGAGACACGGCCCAG
rnacentral:rRNA from 1 species